rnacentral:rRNA from 1 species
UACAGAGGUCCCAAGCGUUGUUCGGAUUCACUGGGCGUAAAGGGUGCGCAGGUGGUCGGGUAAGUCUGAUGUGAAAUCCCGCAGCUUAACUGCGGAAUGGCAUUGGAUCCUAUUCGGCUAGAGGGUUGGAGGGGGGACUGGAAUUCUCGGUGUAGCAGUGAAAUGCGUAGAUAUCGAGAGGAACACCAGUGGCGAAGGCGGCCAUCUGGGACAACACUGACGCUGAAGCACGAAAGCGUGGGGAGCAAACAGG